rnacentral:rRNA from 1 species
UACGUAGGGGGCUAGCGUUGUCCAGAUUUAUUGGGCGUAAAGAGCGUGUAGGCGGCCAGGUAGGUCUGCUGUGAAAACUCGAGGCUCAACCUCGAGACGUCGGCGGAAACCAUCUGGCUAGAGUCCGGAAGAGGAGAGUGGAAUUCCUGGUGUAGCGGUGAAAUGCGCAGAUAUCAGGAAGAACACCCGUGGCGAAGGCGGCUCUCUGGGACGGUACCGACGCUGAGACGCGAAAGCGUGGGGAGCGAACAGG